GACAGAGGUCCCGAGCGUUGUUCGGAUUCACUGGGCGUAAAGGGGGCGUAGGUGGCGAGGUAAGUGGGAGGUGAAAGCUCGGAGCUCAACUCCGAAAUGGCAUUGGAAACUACCUUGCUCGAGGGUUGGAGGGGGGACUGGAAUGCUUGGUGUAGCAGUGAAAUGCGUAGAUAUCAAGCGGAACACCAGUGGCGAAGGCGAGUCCCUGGACAACUCCUGACACUGAGGCACGAAAGCUAGGGGAGCAAACAGG
rnacentral:rRNA from 1 species